rnacentral:rRNA from 1 species
AGGAGAGUUUGAUCCUGGCUCAGGAUGAACGCUGGCGGCGUGCCUAACACAUGCAAGUCGAACGAAGCACUUUUCCCGAGGAAGAAGCGUGCUUGCACAAAUCGGACUCAUUUAAAGUGACUUAGUGGCGGACGGGUGAGUAACGCGUGGGUAACCUGCCUCACACAGGGGGAUAACAGUUAGAAAUGACUGCUAAUACCGCAUAAGCGCACGGUAUCGCAUGAUACAGUGUGAAAAGAUUUAUCGGUGUGAGAUGGACCCGCGUCUGAUUAGCCAGUUGGCAGGGUAACGGCCUACCAAAGCGACGAUCAGUAGCCGGCCUGAGAGGGUGAACGGCCACAUUGGGACUGAGACACGGCCCAAACUCCUACGGGAGGCAGCAGUGGGGGAUAUUGCACAAUGGGGGAAACCCUGAUGCAGCGACGCCGCGUGAGUGAUGAAGUAUUUCGGUAUGUAAAGCUCUAUCAGCAGGGAAGAAAAUGACGGUACCUGACUAAGAAGCCCCGGCUAACUACGUGCCAGCAGCCGCGGUAAUACGUAGGGGGCAAGCGUUAUCCGGAUUUACUGGGUGUAAAGGGAGCGUAGACGGCGAGUCAAGUCUGAUGUGAAAGGUGGGGGCUCAACCCCCAAACUGCAUUGGAAACUGGUUUGCUAGAGUGUCGGAGAGGUAAGUGGAAUUCCUAGUGUAGCGGUGAAAUGCGUAGAUAUUAGGAGGAACACCAGUGGCGAAGGCGGCUUACUGGACGAUCACUGACGUUGAGGCUCGAAAGCGUGGGGAGCAAACAGGAUUAGAUACCCUGGUAGUCCCCU